rnacentral:lncRNA from 1 species
AAUUGAUGAUUGGAUAUUAUAAAUUGAGUGUGGAUUUCGAAAACUAUGGAUAUUAUUAUUUAAUUAAUUUUCAGAAUAAAUUUAAUCAUCUAUUAAAUUCCGAAAAUUUUCAUUGGGACCUUAUUUGCUCAGAAUUUCGUGCCGAUCGUUGCUGUGCUUGUAGAAUUUGAAAUUGAUGAUUGGUUGUGGCGAAUUGAAUGUGAUUUCGAUUUAUGAGGAUUCUUUAUAAAAUCCUAAAUGUGGAAAUUGAGGGGCGGUUGGCCGUGAAAUACCACCUAUUAGAGGUCGUGCCCGAUGAGGCCGUGAAAUACCACCUAUUAGAGGUCGUGCCCGUUGAGGCCGUGAAAUACCACCUAUUAGAGAUCGUGCCCAAUGAAGCCGUGAAAUACCACCUAUUAGAGGUCGUGCCCGAUGAGGCCGUGAAAUACCACCUAUUAGAGGUCGUGCCCGUUGAGGCCGUGAAAUACCACCUAUUAGAGGUCGUGCCCGAUGAGGCCAUGAAAUACCACCUAUUAGAGGUCGUGCCCGAUGAGGCCGUGAAAUACCACCUAAUAGAGGUCGUGCCCGAUGAGGCCGUGAAAUACCACCUAAUAGAGGUCGUGCCCGAUGAGGCCGUGAAAUACCACCUAUUAGAGGUCGUGCCCGAUGAGGCCGUGAAAUACCACCUAUUAGAGCACCUAUUAGAGGUCGUGCCCGAUGAGGCCGUGAAAUAUCACCUAUUAGAGGUCGUGCCCGUUGAGGCCGUGAAAUACCACCUAUUAGAGGUCGUGCCCGAUGAGGCCGUGAAAUACCACCUAUUAGAGGUCGUGCCUGAUGAGGCCGUGAAAUACCACCUAAUAGAGGUCGUGCCCGAUGAGGCCGUGAAAUACCAC